UUUUUUCCUAGCCGCCACUUCUCUCCCUGGCUUCUUCUCCAACGCGCAGGGAGCUUCCUCCCUUCCUCCCAUGGCAGCCGACCAGCCAAGUGCCCUCCCUAUCCUCCUCCUGGCGCGAGUUCCCUGUUCCUCAGCUCCAUGGAUGCAGCCCCUCCUCACCAUGGACGCCCUUCCCUCCAGCAGCGACGGGGCCAGGGUACCGGACACGCAAGACUCGCCCAGACCAUCGGCCUCUGCUUUUCCCAGCGCCCCUUUCACUAUUGGUCACGGGCCCCUCGGCACCUUGCGUGCAUGGCACUUCUCUGAUCCGAGCUCGCGCAGCCGUGGAGCAUCUCCCUGCCAUCUCCCUCCCAUGGACGCCCAGAAAAAUCCCCCAUGCCGACGCCCCUUCUUUUCCCUUACUCGUUCUCCGUCGCGCAACAGCAGCCGGGUCUUCUUCCUCCCCCUGCUGUCCACGGCGUGCAGCAAACAGGGAGCUGAGCUCCAUCUCCCCCUCAUGGCGGGACACAGCAGGGGCUCGCCCCGCCUCUCCUCGCAGGCGCAGCCCUCUCCCAUGGCGCGCUACAGUAGAUGCCGUGGAGCAUUCCCUCCAUGCCUUGCGACUCGGUUUCCUUCCUGCGUGUGUGCUGCUGCGCCUGCGCCGUUGAUGCUUGCUAGGCGCUCGACAAAAUGCGCAGCAGCCCCAACGUCUCCGCGCGGCUUGCUGCUUUUUGCUGCGCAGUGAACAGCACGCCGUCGACGCUCGUCGGGUGUUUGCUGUUUUUGUGCAGUGAACAGCACGUCGUCGACGCUCGUCGAGUGUUUGAUGUUUUUGCGCAGCCCCAACAUCAUCGUCGUUCACCCCGGUGAGACCGCGACGCUCCUUGUUCGAUUCCGCAUUGACGUUAUUUUCCUAUGAUUAAUUAUGUAUGUGUGCUGCUUUAUUUUAUUUUUGUGGAGGAGAGAAACCCCGUGUUUGCGUGGAGGAGGCAAGUCGUUCAACGCUCGUCGAUGUGCGAAGCUAUGCACAAAUCGGAAUCACCGUCGUUCUUGCAAACGCCGUUUGGGUUUGUUUAUGGUGAGCCGAUGCAUGUCACUCUCGAUCGACUCGAUUAAUUAUUUUGAAUGGAUGUGUGUAAAAUGUUUCGGUUAUGCGCAUUGGUAGGAUCGCGUUUGCGAUUGGAGAACAAAAGGUUAUGUGAUGUAUGCGAUUUGUAGUUUGUCUAAUUUUGUUUUGGUCGAUGUGGAGUACAUGGGUGUUUAAUUGUGUGUGAGUAUAAAAUGUUUUGGUUAUAUGUUGUAGCAAGUUCGCCUUCACGUUUUGGUAAGCAAACGUGUCGUGCUUGUUUUAUGUGAUGAGUAAGUUUGGAAAUAUAUGUGAUGUGAGGAUUGAAUUAGUACACGUAUAUGUGUGUGUGCCGUGGUGUAUUAUAGUGGUAGUGGCGUAAGGUAUUUGAUUGAGGUGUGCGGGUAUAUGCCGUAAUGUGGUUAUACUCGCAACGAGGAAAGAUGCCUGUAUGGUGUAACACGAUGCUUAGGCCGCUAUUAUAUAAACGUGUGAAGGAUGCUCGUGAUGGGUGUGUGAUUGAGGAGUGAUGUAGUGGCAAGCGAGGAGUAAGUUUAAUUUUUCAAACGAUUAGUGGAUAGUAUCUCAGUGUUGUCUUGAUUUUUGUUGUAUGGCAAUGUGAUGCUUCGCUUUGUCAAUCAUCACAUUCCAUGCCCCUUUGGAUAAAUAAAUAUCUUUUUGAUCGAUUAGAGGUCUUAUACGAGUGUUAUCGCAGCCCAAUAAUUAUUGGGGCAAGUAGCGUUCAUAAGUCAAUCCUUGUUAAAAUUGAAGAACAAUCUGAUAACAUAUGCACCUAAGUGCUUUAGGUCCUUCAGUAGCAAAUGUAAGACUUAUGGAGUUUUACGCCGUAUGUAGAUGCCUCUAUGUUAGACCCCAACAACAUGCUAUCUUAGGUGACUGAUGUGUUAACUAAAUUAAGUUGAGAAAAGGUUAAGAAACGUUAAUUAACCUGCUCCCACCCAUGUUUUGAGUUGCAAUGGCUAAAUGGGUUGCUAAGUCUUAUGCUGUGAUUAGCCAACUAAUGUUGAGGAGUCAAAUUCAUUAAGUGAUUGUUAUAUAUGUGUUGUCUCGGAUUACGAUAAUAAUAUGCAAGCCGACGUGUUGGAUGUGCAUCGGCCUAGAUUGUUACUCUGGCUAGCCGACUUGUUAGAUGGCUUUGGUUAAGUUUGUAGUCACGAUGAAUUGCUUGUUGUGGUCUAAAUGUGUAUGGUUAUGGUUGCGAAUGAAAAGUAGUAGUGCUCAGGUGAUGUCUAAAUUAAAAUGCAAACUAUUGGUGAAAAGCGCUUCGAUAUUAAUUGUUAUAGAUAAUGCAUUGUUAAUUGAGUAUGGUACUUUUAGUGCGCAAAAUAACUUGUAUAAAAAUUAGUAAGUCCACAUGUUAGUUCUCACUUAGUUAUUUUAACUCUAACAAUUGUCAAAGUGUUAGAAUGAUUUAAGUCUCUAGAACAUGGCAAUUCUUGAAUUGUAUAGGAGCUGAAAUUUAUAAAUUUCUGUUUUGGGCUGCCCACACUGUUUUAGUUGUGCUGUAUGUUUGAUGAACCAAAUUGUGUUUUCUGUAGAUAUGUGCUAUAGAAAAGUGGUAGAUAACUUCAUUAUCUUGCUGGUGUUAAAAUUUGACAGCCAUAGGUCUGACAGUUUAGGAGUUAUGCUUUUUGCAACUUCAGUAACUGAAUCUGUCCAAUUUCUGUAUAGAUUUCAGAGACUGUACUGUUUGAUUAAGUUAAUGUUUGAAUCAGUCCUUGUAGAUUAUAAGAAAGUUGUAGAUGCUUUUCUUAUCUUGCUUGUGUUAAAAUUUCAUAACUAAAAGCCUGACGGUUUAAGAGUUAUGAAUUUUACAACUUGGUUGCUGUGUUCUGUCCACCGUCAGAACAGAUUUUGAAAACUGCGUUGUUUGAUUCAGUUAAGCACAGAAUCACUUCUUGGUGAUUAUAAAAGUUAUGUAGUACAAUUGCCAAGCUUUCCAAAAAGUCUUGGAUCACUAUUUUUGGUGGUCUGAAGAUUAAGUUAUGGAUGUUUAAAGUCUGAAGACUGAAUCUGUCCAGUUUUGGACAGCACAGCCUUCAUAGUAUAUUUUACCCUUGAUACAUGCUAAACCAGCCAGUGAUGUUGAUAAAUAAUUUGUAGAACAUUUAAUUAGCUUUCCAGAAAGUCUAGGAUCACUUUGUUUGUAUGUCUGAAUCUUUUGUUGUGAAUUUUUGAAGCUGCAAGUCUGAAUCUGUCCAAAUCUGGACAGAGCUGCUGUGUUUGCACAAUUCGACCUUGCUAAGUGUUUAAUCAGGUUGUGAUAACAAUACCAAAGUUGUAGAGCACUUUUUAAGCUUUCCAGAAAGUCCCAGUUUGAUAUUUUUGGACUAACCAUUGAAGAGUUAUGAUUAAAACAAGCAACUGCUGUAUUGCUGUCCAAAAAUCUGCAACUGCGCAUUUGAUUGUUUUGUUCACCUGUUGGCUAAAAAUGCUUAGUUAGCACUUAGCAGACAUAGACUUGUAAUGUCUAAACUUAGGAUACAUGUGUUCCAUGAUUGAUGUGUUUGCUUGAGUAGUUAAUUGUGGAUAGGAAUUCCUCCUCUAUUGAACUGGUGCUUGGGAUGCUUUUGUGUGAUAAAUAGAAGAAUAAUGAAAAGCCGUAGCAGGUUAAAUAGAUGCUCGUACUUAUGGGGUCGUAUUUGCGUUGCGUAAAUAUACAAAAUGUUUGUCUUCUUUUAGUGGUGUUACUGUUGUGCGCUCGAUGAUGCGUAGUUAGCUGACACUAGUGUGUACGGUUAUUUAUGAUGUCUCGCUACUUAGUAUUUAAUUCGCUAGCAUGUACUUAAAGUAUCUUGUGCUACUUUCAUUAUAUUCAUACAUAUGCAUCUUGCAUCUCAUUUAGGACCGAGAGAUGAUGAUCGAGCCAGUGAUGUGGUGCCAACCACAAGAUGCAGUUGGUGGACGACCUGAAGAAUGAUGGACUUAACCAGUGGAUGCUCGCCAAGCGAGUACCCACCCCAGCAAACACUAUCUAAGUGUUAAAUUAAAGGCAAGCCCCGGUUUUAUGCAUAACAUGUUAUUUAUGCUAUUUUACUUCACUUAAUGAUUGUAGGAUUGACUGUGCACUUAGGUGUAGGAGUUGAUUGAAACCCUAGUUGCAUGAACUCAGGAUUCCUUUUUGAGAUGGAUACUAGUAUGCUAGGUCGAGUAGCUGCUUUACUAAUUAGGGAUCUCGGUAGAAGUCGAGUGAUUUUUCUAGCACUCGCGCGAGGUCAGGAAUUGGUUGUACCCACUUUUCUUAUCACAUUGAUAGUUGGUUGGUGGACACGGAUCCAUGGGGAUACGUGGUCUAUGAGGUAAAAUGGGAAUAAGGAUUAACGUGCGGAUACCUGUGUCAAGCGUUUGAACGUACUAAACAUAUGCCGAGAAAUAUGGUAAAUCGGUAAGCCUAGUACCUGAGUGAACCUGGCAGUGGACAUAUCCCCUCACGCGACCUGAGACGUGGUCUCCCAUUCCGGUUAUGGUGGGUACAAGUGCGGUCACUGCACGACGGCAGUCGGGGUCAGUGAGGCAUUGUACGCCAAGGCGGUGAGCCCUGAUCUGCUGACGGGGAAUCGAUGGGGACGGUUGAUGUGUGUGGGGACGGAGUGCCCCUGCAUGUCGUGUGUUUAGGUUUACCUUGCAAGGAUAAAAACUCGAUUCGAAUCGUCUGCUUCUCGCAGCUAAUGAGACUGCUUGAUCCAUUGUACUGCAUUGAGUAACAAGUGGAAAUGUGAUGAGUUGACACAAGAUGUUGAUUGCUAAAUAUGUUUGAUACCAUGUAUGAGUAGAUAGUACACAUUUAGCCUUAAGAGAGUCACACUUAAACUUGACAAAGUUAAAACUUGAUUUAGAAACUCCGCUAGUGCUUUUGGCAAACCAAACCCCUCAGCCAAACAGCUGCAUGUCUAGAGGUAGAGGAGUAGACUCCUCACACCGGGUAAGUCUAGCUGAGUAUUAGUAUACUCAGCCUUGCUUGUGGCAUAAUUUUUGCAGGUACUACUUGUUUUGGUUGAUGGUGUGACUUGGCCUCCAUCCCUGCCAUCGGGAUAGACGGUCGAGUGGGUUAUUGCUUCCGCAGGAGAGGACCAGGAGGAGUAGCGUGGCUAGGCUUCGCCAUGUUACUCGGUUUUCUCCGUUAGUUAUUUCCGCUGCAUUAAAAUUUAUGAUUAUUAUUUCUGAAACUCCGAUAAUGUAAUCACUAUUGAUACUUAAUAAAUUUGUGGUAUUAUGUUUUAUUGUAUUUCUCUGUACCUCACCUUCGAGUGAGCUAGUGGUAUUCGAUCCUGGAUAAGUGGCCUCGUCGGACUAGAUCCGAGGGACUGACGGGUUAUUCCUAUUUAAGUGUGGUCCAGCCUUUAAGGCGAGACUUAGGCACUUAAGUUGGAAUAAUUCGGGCGGUUCCGCCACAGCUGGUAUCGGAGCGAAUACCAGUACAGAGAAGUCAAUAAGUCAUGAUUACCAACCUUUUCUAAAGUAAAACUUGCUUAGAAACCAAUGUUGGAUAGAUCGUUUGGACGAUAAUGAUAGACCUAGGACGUGAAGCCUUAGGAAAUAGAUGGGUAGCUAGGUGGCUAUAUUUAUAUAGGCCAUAAAGGCUGCUACUACUACUACAAUUAAUAAGGAUGUUGUAGAAGCACCCGAAAAAGUAGUUAGGUCUGAGAAGACGACUAGAAUGAGCAUGCAUCAUGAUUGUCGCAUCAUUGUCUCUUGUGCACCAACCUGCUUCUCUCACCUUUAUUCCAAUAAUAAGAAAUUGUGAAUAAUGUGCUAUAUUGCUAUGAACUGCAAAAAAGGGUCUUAUCCUGUGUGUCAUGAUAGUCUUGACUAGGUUGUGUUAUGUGUUUCUCUUGCCUUGCUAUCUAGGUGGUAUUGUAAUUGUUCAACCCUUUUUGCCAAUAAAAAAAUGUGUUGUUUGUUUCGCUCAUGAAAAGACCCCCCGUCCAAACAACCUUGAGUUUAGCGAGUGAAACCUCUUAAAAAAUCAUGCUUGAGUUGGUAUUUUCUAACCCUUGUGUGUUUUACCCAUAAAGUUACACCUGCACAGCUUAGAGACCCCCACAGCUUGACCGCUAGACCGACCCAAGUCUCCUUGUGCACUUGUUGUGUCAAAAAAAUGUCGUUUGGUGUCUAGUUGCGCAAACCCUAUCAAGACCAUGUUUCUUUCCAUAGAUCCUUGCUCCUAAAACUUCAUAGCAUUUCUGUUAAUCAUCCUAGCUGAUCCUAUUUGCCUUUCUCUCCUUUUGCCUAGAUCUGGUAAUCCUUUUUCUCAUGAAUCAUGUUGGCUUUAUCAUCCGAAUCUUGGGAUCCCCUAUUGAUUCUGCCUCGUUAUCUGGUUAUCUCCAAUAACCCAUUCACAAGCAUCGGAUGUUGAUCUGCCUAAAUCACUCAUUUCUGGUCAUUCUCAUACCCCCUUCUCUGAGGAUCAUGACACUAAUUUUAUCAACUUAUCUCUAGACGACAUAUCCAUGUGGAUUAAUUGAUGUUGCUUUUAUCUUUGGAUCUCUCAUGUCUCUAAAAGCUUAUCAAUCUCGAUCUCAUGGUUGGUUCCUCCUCAUAUUAAAUAUCGUAUCAAUCUUUGGCUGAUAAUCCUCGUGAUGAUCAUAAAAUAGUUCUCUGAGUUAAAGAAAAUUCUCAUGUGAUGCUCUUUUGUCAGCAGUCUCUGCUUCAACUCCGAUCACAUUCUUAUUUUCUGAGCCAAACUCUCAUGGGCUCCAUCUAUUUAUGCCACGUGAAAAUUUCUUAUUGGUUGCGUUUGGUAAUGAUGUCAUGACUAACGACUGAAGGUGCCGCGACGAAACCGAGAGCCAACUAUGGUGCACACAUGGUUGAGUUGCUCGGCACGCGCUAGUAUCGUGGUUAAUAGUUGUGAUCCAUUACGAGACUAUACUGAUGUGUUGUCUUUUGUGAACAUUCUCUCAGAGUGAUCGCUGCAUUUUGUCUCAGCAUGCCGCGAUAUUCUAUCCAAAUCUGUCUCAAAUAUCUUGUCAGAUACCAUCUCAUGAAUUUGCAUCAACCAUCAGCCUGGGAGUUACAUGCUUCUCCACCCUUAAAGAUCCUCAUUCGAAUCUCGGGACGAGAUUCUUUUAAGGGGGGAAGGCUGUGACACCCCAGGUGUCACUUUUGCGUUAUGUCGGGAGAUUAAUCCUAAUAUCGGAUGCUCAGUAAAAAUUUCUAUUUCUCGAUCGUGCCUAUCUCUGUUUAUCAAGCUUUCUCUUGGAAGUUCACCGAAUUCAGAGUUAUUCGAUCGCGAGAAACAACCCAUUUCGGAGCGUGUUAAAACUUUUAUCUCUCGAAACGAAUGCAAACUCGACGAUCAGUCUCGAUUUAUAAAUCUCAUCUAAAGCCCAUUUAAUCAAAUGCUCGAUAAUUGCUAGUCGAGCUGUGUCCGAAUCCAAUUCCUCGAACUUUGGUCUAUGUCUGAUUAUUUUGUCCGAAUCCGCUUUCUCAAACGUAAUACUCAUUAUGUCGUCCUCUAAUCAAUUUUAUCCUACUCGGCCAAUUAUCUCAUGUCCGAGCCAAACUCAAAACCCCGUAUCGACAGCAAUUUUUAAAUAUCACGAUUCGCCUUCUCCGACUAAAAAUCCAAAGUCGAUCGAAUCUCAGGACGAUUUAUUUUCGAAUCACGCGUAGGUAAUUAUUUUCGAGCGAACUCAAAAUUAGACUCUCGACCGAAUUAAUCGCUCAACCUUCCAUUCGUCCGAACUCUUUUCGCUCUGUUUCUCCGUAGCGACGAACUCCGCGAGAGCAUUUUUAUUCGGGAAAAUAAAUUAGCGCGGGCCGAGUACGUGUUUUGGGCCAGGCCCAACCCAGCCCAAUUGGCCCAAUAGGAAACCCUAACCCUAGGGCUGCUUCUAUAAAUAGGGGUGCUCACUUGACAAAUUUUCACUCCCACCCCUCAUUUUUUUCCUAGCCGCCACUUCUCUCCCUGGCUUCUUCUCCAACGCGCAGGGAGCUUCCUCCCUUCCUCCCAUGGCAGCCGACCAGCCGAGUGCCCUCCCUAUCCUCCUCCUGGCGCGAGUUCCCUGUUCCUCAGCUCCAUGGAUGCAGCCCCUCCUCACCAUGGACGCCCUUCCCUCCAGCAGCGACGGGGCCAGGGUACCGGACACGCAAGACUCGCCCAGACCAUCGGCCUCUGCUUUUCCCAGCGCCCCUUUCACUAUUGGUCACGGGCCCCUCGGCACCUUGCGUGCAUGGCACUUCUCUGAUCCGAGCUCGCGCAGCCGUGGAGCAUCUCCCUG
rnacentral:lncRNA from 1 species